ACCACAGCGUCUCCUCAGCGCCGGGCGGGAGGGCCCCGCCGGGCCUCGGGGCUUCCACCGCGCCGCCGCCGCCGCCUCGGGGCCCGGAUAACCCUGUGGUUAACACCUUAUGAGCUAAAUGACAGAUGCCAGCACAAAGCAUUACUCCACUGAAAAUAUUUGUCGAAAAGUGAGCCGGCAGCUUUAGGGAGCUUUGGUGAAUGUGCAAAACGUUUUGCUAUUGUCCAGGCUCGAUAAUGGGAGAGGACAUUGAGGAGUUCUGCAGGAGACAGCAGUGUGAGAAGAGGUAGAUCCCCAUGGAGCACAAACAGAGGGCCUCAAAUUGCCACCACAGCAGCAGAGGUGCAGCAGGUGGGGAAGAUGAAGGUCACAAACAUAGCUUGGAAUGAACACAACUGAGCUACAGGUAGAAGGGGCUCCGUGUUCUGCAGUGUGUUUCAUCCUUUUUUUUCACUUGAUAAAGCAAAUUUCCCAGAAAGCGCGAGGAAGUCUGAUAGUAGGCUCUAACAAAUCCACGUCCCUUAAGGUUGUUUUGGUUUUGUUUGUUUGUUUUUUCAAUGGAAAGGAAGUAAUUACUAUGCUUUUUCAGCUAGGCACAUUACACCGUGCAACAAUCA